AGAAAAGAGAAGAAAAGUAGAGAAGAAAAAGAGAAAGAAAGGAGAAACGAAAAGAAAGGAGAAGGAAGAAUGAGAGAGAAAGCGAGAGAGAAAAAUGAGAAAGGAAGAAGGAAACGGAAUUCGUGAAAUAGAUGUUGUAAUUGGCAUACUUCGCACCUCUAAACUUUCUAAUUGGCGCUUGCAGAGUGUUCAGGAAUGUGAAUUUGAGUGCCUUACAUCUCCGAUUAGUUGCAAUUGACGUGUUUUCGGGCGACCGAGAGGAGAGAAAAAGCACGUGAGGAGCUUUUCGCUUGCCCGAGUCGACAUAGCGAGUCGAGGUCGAUUUUGAGUCAUCGAAAACGGCGAAUUUCCUUCUAUAUCUAUUUUAGCAACGUAUAUAGGACUUGAACACAUGUAUAUGAAUUACGUAGUAUUGAUCAUUUUAGCAAGACAUUUGAAGUAUAAACACACGAUUUCGUACUGGUAGCAUGAACAUUAGUUUGAACAGAAAACUUGAACUUGAACAUAAAAUGUAAACAUGUCUCUUUUGAUGAUGUAUAUCAUAGUUGAAAUAUGAGCAUGAGCAAUUUCCUUUUA